GACGAACGUUGGCGGCGCGCUUAACACAUGCAAGUCGAGCGAUGAAAUUUCGACAGAUCCCUUCGGGGUGAAGAUGAAAUGGAUUAGCGGCGGACGGGUGAGUAACACGUGAGUAACCUGCCUUUGACAUUGGGAUAGCCUCGGGAAACUGGGAUUAAUACCAAAUGACACUAACUGAUCACAUGAUCAAUUAGUCAAAGAAAUUCGGUCAAAGAUGGACUCGCGGCUGAUUAGCUAGUUGGUGAGGUAACGGCCCACCAAGGCGACGAUCAGUAGCCGGCCUGAGAGGGUGAUCGGCCACAUUGGAACUGAGACACGGUCCAAACUCCUACGGGAGGCAGCAGUGGGGAAUAUUGCACAAUGGGGGAAACCCUGAUGCAGCGACGCCGCGUGAGCGAAGAAGGCCUUCGGGUCGUAAAGCUCUUUUAUGAGGGAAGAUAAUGACGGUACCUCAAGAAAAAGCCCCGGCUAACUACGUG
rnacentral:rRNA from 1 species